AGUAUGAAGUUUGUUACAACUAUCAUUGGAAAUGCAAAUUGAAGUUGUGCCUGGUGUUAUGGGUUACACUAUUCAAAUCCUCUGCGGUUUUGUGAAUCUGGCUUAGUACUUUUAGCUACCUUUUGCUUUGAAAGCACUGAGUUAAGAAGUUCUUGAAGAAGAGGAAUAAUUGUGCAGGAGUCAGGAUUAGAUGUUGAGGACUCCGAGACUAAAUCCCCGCAGGUUAUGAAUGUGUUACUCCUCAUGCGCAAAGAAGGUAGAAUAAAGUAGAAACUCGAGAGAGCUGAGUUGUGAAAACGAGGGGGAGCUCCAAGAAGUUAACAUGUAAGACAUAGUUUAGAGACAUUAGUUUAGGAAAUAUAGGAAAUGGACUUCUUUCUGCGUUGUUCCUUAAACCAUGUUUUUUGCCUCAGGAUUUCAGAUGCAUGCCAGGUUUCCACUGAUUGCCAGAACUCGAGAUCACUACACAUGGAUCCCCAAAAUCAACAUGGCAGUGGCAGUUCGUUAGUUGUGAUCCAGCAGCCUUCUUUGGAUAGCCGUCAGAGAUUAGACUAUGAGAGAGAGAUUCAGCCU
rnacentral:lncRNA from 1 species